rnacentral:tRNA from 1 species
GGCCCUGUACUCGUCUGGGGACGAGGAUGCGCUGUCUACGCAUCGAGGCGGGUUCGAUCCCCGUCAGGGUCGCCA